CCUUCCCCUCAGAGAGGCCACGCCCUCCGCCCCGCCCUCAGAGAGCCGCCAAGAUGGCGGGAGGUGGCGUGUGGUGAUGGUGGGUCCUGUCCAGGCUGGGCGCUACCGCCUCUCUUCCCGUCACCUCAAGGGUCUUUUCACCCUCUCAGAAGCCCUAGUGGGCUCGACGAGGAGAAGGGCCCAGAGUGACCAGAUGACACACAGCAACCUCCCUUGGUCCAGGCACACCCAAAAUCUGGGGGCGAAGCUCCCAGAUUGCAGCCAGAUGAACCACUACAAUAUUUAACCUUUUACUGCAAGGGAAAGGCACAAACUGGGUGGACACUGGGAGGGUAGACACAUUUCCAUGGUGUGAAAAACGAUAGACAGAAGUUUAGCUUAACUCUCACCACAGUGCAUUUUCCUUGAUGGAAAGAUUUUAUGGGUUUGAGGUAGAUUUUACAUUUUUGUCUGAAUAAGUGGAAAGUUGAUGCUUUUUAAAACCAAAACCAUGCCAUAACAAGGCCAUGACCACAUGGGGUCAGCCCAGCUUUCCCCACUGAGGCUCAGAGCAGAGGUCCUGGACCUGCAGCAGGAAUGCAGCGAAUUUUGGACAAUCCUUACCCAGGAGCAUCCUCCCAGAUCCCAACAGUCGCUGUGGAGGGACAUCCUGGCCCAGAAGGUGCAUCUGGCCUGUGGGAUUUAACAGCUGAGCAGCAUCCUCUGUGUAUCCCAACUUCUGAUCUCUGCUGUGUGGCAGUGGAAUGUUGAAAAAUGAGGGGAAAAUCCUUUAUUUUGGUUAAAACUCUUGCUGUGCCCCAGCAAGGCUGAGUUUGUCAGCCCUGGAAACCAGUGCUGUCCCGUUUCCCACCACAGGUGCUGACAAACCUUUUUGCAUGUGGAUUUUGUAGCAGCAAGAGUCUAAACCAGAGCAGGGGGAUGAUCUGUAUGAGAAAACCUUCCUUGUAAUUCCAGGCCCUUGUAAAUAGUCUUUCUCCAUGUUUUUUGUAGGCUUCCUUCAGGCACUGGAUGCUGCAAUUAGGUCACCCUGAAGUCUUUUCCAGGCUGCACAAUCCCAGUUCUCCCAGCCUUUCCUUGCAGAGAGCUGCUCCAUCCCUCUGAUCAGAUUGGUGGCCUCCUUUGGACUCUCUCCAACAGCUCAAUUACAUUGAUUGGUGUUCCCAGAAUGGGAAAAAUGGGAUCAGGGAUCAGCCACUUUGCUGAGUCCACACUUGAAAUGGGUUUUACUCCUUUGCUGAGCAGGGACAGGACCCAGGGAAGGGCUGGAGCUGUGUCAGGGGAGUUUAGUU
rnacentral:lncRNA from 1 species